AUACGUAGGGUGCGAGCGUUAUCCGGAAUUAUUGGGCGUAAAGAGCUCGUAGGCGGUUUGUCGCGUCUGCUGUGAAAGCCCAGGGCUUAACCCUGGGUUUGCAGUGGGUACGGGCAGGCUGGAGUGCAGUAGGGGAGACUGGAAUUCCUGGUGUAGCGGUGAAAUGCGCAGAUAUCAGGAGGAACACCGAUGGCGAAGGCAGGUCUCUGGGCUGUUACUGACGCUGAGGAGCGAAAGCAUGGGGAGCGAACAGGAUUAGAUACCCUGGUAGUCCAUGCCGUAAACGUUGGGCACUAGGUGUGGGGACCAUUUCCACGGUUUCCGCGCCGUAGCUAACGCAUUAAGUGCCCCGCCUGGGGAGUACGGCCGCAAGGCUAAA
rnacentral:rRNA from 1 species